rnacentral:tRNA from 1 species
GGGGGUAUAGCUCAGUGGUAGAGCAUUCGACUACAGAUCGGGAGGUCCCCUGAUCAAACCCGGGUGUCCCCU